rnacentral:lncRNA from 1 species
GGUGUUUUUAAGCACGAGAUUUCGGGAUUGAUCCUUUCUGGAUCCGGCUAUUCUUUUUUCGAAUUUCGGGAUGGCGGGAUUUAAAUUUCUAUAAAUUCGGGACCUCAGGAUUUCAUGUUUUAAAGUCCGGGAUUUCGGGAUCAGGACCCCUGCCCCCCCCCCCCCCCCCCCCCCCCCCCCCCCUUCCUCUUACAAAUGCAUAUCACAAGAUGUCUUUUCCUUUUUAAUUUUCUUUUGGCCUUGUGUUGUUGUCUGGUUGCUGUCUUAUUGAAGUACUGACUACUUACGGGAUUUACAUUUUACUUUAGGUACUGAAAGUCUGUGACACUGCAUAUUUUUCAGUACAGUACAGUACAGUAGGUAUAUAGUAGUAGUAUGAUAUAGAGAUGAUCGAUAUAAUCUCGUUCUCAACCUUCAAGUUCUAUGAGUGAAAUAGAAUUGAGAACAGUUCUAUUUUAUAUUUGAGAUGCUACUUUCAG